UACGUAGGGUGCGAGCGUUAAUCGGAAUUACUGGGCGUAAAGCGUGCGCAGGCGGUUUUGUAAGCCAGAUGUGAAAUCCCCGGGCUUAACCUGGGAAUGGCAUUUGGGACUGCAAGGCUGGAGUGUGGCAGAGGAGACUGGAAUUCCUGGUGUAGCAGUGAAAUGCGUAGAUAUCAGGAGGAACACCGAUGGCGAAGGCAGGUCUCUGGGCAU
rnacentral:rRNA from 1 species